rnacentral:lncRNA from 1 species
UCCAAAUUCCCUGAAACAGAGUGAGUGCACAGACAGAGGAAGGCCAGGAGCGUAAUGCUCAUAAACUCCAGCCACCGGGAAAGAAACUUCAGGAGUGAGGAGUGAAGUCCAUACUUCCCAGCGGUGAGGACUCUGUAGUUCGUUUCUGACCCACAAGCACUCGCAGCUGAGAACAUUAAGUCUCAGAGGAUUAAGCCAGGUCUCCAGCCAAUGAGUGGCAAAGUCAGGAUUCAACCCCACAUCUAUAUGGCUCCAACUUCUGCGUCCUUCCUGUGUCCCCUCCAGGAAGGAGCCAGAGGUAGGGAGGCCACUUGGGAAACCACUGGGGAUGACCGAGGCCAAAAUGAGGACAGUACAUGGGGAAUUUAGACGUACGUCUGCAGGAAUGUAGAGUCCGUGUUGGC